UCCUUCAGGUCCGGCGGCUCCCUUCAGGUGGUGCGGCGGCUCCCUUCGGGUGGCGCGGCUCCUGCAGCUGAUGAUUCAAUUCAAAGACACGUGGGCAGUCUGACCAAAACAAGAUGAAGAGCUGUUAACAUGUAUGCUACACCACGCUGCCUCACCUGCUUCAACAUCUGGUGUUUCCUCGCUCUGAGAACUCUGAUCUGUGCUGCAGCUGGAAGGAUUUUCUUU